rnacentral:rRNA from 1 species
UACGUAGGGUGCAAGCGUUGUUCGGAAUUACUGGGCGUAAAGCGCGUGUAGGCGGCUUCUUAAGUCUGGUGUGAAAGCCCGGGGCUCACCCCCGGAAGUGCAUUGGAUACUGGGAAGCUAGAGUACCGGAGAGGAAGGUGGAAUUCCUGGUGUAGCGGUGAAAUGCGUAGAUAUCAGGAGGAACACCGGUGGCGAAGGCGACCUUCUGGACGGAUACUGACGCUGAGACGCGAAAGCGUGGGGAGCAAACAGG